CCUACGUGUGGCUGCAGUGAGGAAUAUUGGUCAAUGGGCGCAAGCCUGAACCAGCCAAGUAGCGUGAAGGAUGACUGCCCUACGGUUUGUAAACUUCUUUUAUAAAGGAAUAUAGUGAGGCUCGUGUGCCUUUUUGUAUGUAUUUUAUGAGUAACGAUCGGCUAACUCCGUGCCAGCAGCCGCGGUAAUACGGAGGGUCCGAGCGUUAUCCGGAUUUAUUGGGUUUAAAGGGAGCGUAGAUGGGUUGUUAAGUCAGUUGUGAAAGUUUGCGGCUCAACCGUAAAAUUGCAAUUGAUACUGGCAGCCUUGAGUGCAGUUGAGGUAGGCGGAAUUCGUGGUGUAGCGGUGAAAUGCUUAGAUAUCACGAAGAACUCCGAUUGCGAAGGCAGCCUACUAAACUGUAACUGACAUUGAUGCUCGAAAGUGUGGGUAUCAAACAGGAUUAGAUACCCCGGUAGUC
rnacentral:rRNA from 1 species